GCGCUAAUAGCUCAGUUGGGAGAGCGUCAGACUGAAGUAAUUCAGUUAUUUAUCUGAAGGUCACCCGUUCAAUCCGGGUUUGGCGCA
rnacentral:tRNA from 1 species